rnacentral:tRNA from 1 species
GUAUCCGUGGCCUAAUGGAUAAGGCGUCUCUGACUUCUAGUCAGGCGAUUGUGGGUUCGAGUCCCACCGUGUAUG